rnacentral:rRNA from 1 species
CACAUGCAAGUCGAGGGGCAGCAUGGUCUUAGCUUGCUAAGGCCGAUGGCGACCGGCGCACGGGUGAGUAACACGUAUCCAACCUGCCGUCUACUCUUGGACAGCCUUCUGAAAGGAAGAUUAAUACAAGAUGGCAUCAUGAGUCCGCAUGUUCACAUGAUUAAAGGUAUUCCGGUAGACGAUGGGGAUGCGUUCCAUUAGAUAGUAGGCGGGGUAACGGCCCACCUAGUCUUCGAUGGAUAGGGGUUCUGAGAGGAAGGUCCCCCACAUUGGAACUGAGACACGGUCCAAACUCCUACGGGAGGCAGCAGUGAGGAAUAUUGGUCAAUGGGCGAGAGCCUGAACCAGCCAAGUAGCGUGAAGGAUGACUGCCCUAUGGGUUGUAAACUUCUUUUAUAAAGGAAUAAAGUCGGGUAUGGAUACCCGUUUGCAUGUACUUUAUGAAUAAGGAUCGGCUAAACUCCGUGCCAGCAGCCGCGGUAAUACGGAGGAUCCGAGCGUUAUCCGGAUU